rfam:Picea glauca, whole genome shotgun sequence.
CUCAUGGAGAGUUUGAUCCGGGCUUAGUAUGAACGCUCGCAACAUGCUAAACACAUGAAAGUCGGACGGGAAGUGGUGUUUCCAAUGGCGGACGGGUGUGUAACCCGUAAGACCCUGCCCUUGGGAGGGGAACAACACUGGAAGCGACUGAUAAUACCCUAUAGGUUGGGGAGAAAAAGGAGGAAUCCGUCGAAGGAGGGGAUCAUGUCUGAUUAGUUAUUUAGUGAGGCAAUGUCUUACCAAGGCGAUGAUAAGUAGCUAGUCCGAGAGGAUGAUCAGCCACAAUGGGACUGAGACAUGACCCAGACUCCUACGGGAGGCAACAGUGGGGAAUUUUUUGCAAUGGGUUAAAGCUUGAUGGAGCAAUGUCUUGUGAAGGAAGAAGGCCCAUGGGUCAUGAACUUCUUUUCUCAAAGAAUAAACAAUGACAAUAUCUAAGGAAUAAGCAUUGGCUAACUCUGUACCAACAACCAUAGUAAGACAGAAUAUGAAAGAAUUAUCCAGAAUGAUUGGGCGUAAAGCGUUUGUAGGUGAUUUUUCAAGUCCAUCAUCAAAUCCCAGGGCUCAACCCUGGACAGGCGGUGGAAAAUACCAAGCCGAAGUAUGGUAGGGGCAGAGGGAAUUUUCGAUGGAGCAGUGAAAUGCGUUGAGAUUGGAAAGAACACCAAUGGCGAAAACACUCUGUUGGGCCGACACUGACACUGAGAGAUGAAAUCUAGGGUAGCAAAUGGGAUUAGAUACCCCAAUAGUCCUAGUUGUAAAUGAUGGAUACUAAGUGUUGUGGAUAUCGACCCGCGCAGUGUUGUAGCUAACACGUUAAGUAUCCCUCCUAGGGAGUAUGAUCACAAGAAUGAGACUCAAAGGAAUUAACAAGGGCCCACACAAGCAGUGGAGCAUGUGGCUCAAUUCUAUGCAAAGCAAAGAACCUUUCCAGGGUUUGACAUGCCGUGAAUCCUCCCCAAAGAGAGGAGUGCCUUCGGGAACACGAACAUAGGUGGUGCAUGGAUGUCGUCAUCUCAUGUCGUAAGGUGUUGGGUUAAGUCCCACAAUGAGCACAACCCUUGUGUUUAGUUGUCAACAUUGAGUUUGGAACCCUGAACAGACUGUCGAUGAUAAGCCAGCGGAAGGUGAGGAUGACGUCAAGUAAUCAUGCCUCUUACGCCCUGGGCGACACACAUGCUACAUUGAUAGGGACAAAGGGUCGUGACCCCGCGAGGGAAAGAUAACCUCAAAAACCCGGCCUCAAUUUGGAUUGCAGGCUGCAACUUGCCUGCAUGAAGCCAUAAUCAAUAGUAAUCGUUGGUCAUCCAUACGGCGGUGAAUCCAUUCCCGAGCCUUGUACACACCGCCUGUCACACUAUGGGAGCUAGACAUGCCCCAAGUCGUUACCUUAACUGCAAGGAGGGGGAUGUUGAAGGAUGGGCUAGUGACUGGAGUGAAGUCGUAACAAGGUAGCCAUACUGGAAGGUGUGGCUGGAUCACCUCCUUU